rnacentral:rRNA from 1 species
AAGAAGGGCGUGCUAAUCUGCGAUAAGCGCCGGUAAGGUGAUAUGAACCGUUAUAACCGGCGAUACCCGAAUGGGGAAACCCAGUGUGAUUCGUCACACUAUCAUUAACUGAAUCCAUAGGUUAAUGAGGCGAACCGGGGGAACUGAAACAUCUAAGUACCCCGAGGAAAAGAAAUCAACCGAGAUUCCCCCAGUAGCGGCGAGCGAACGGGGAGGAGCCCAGAGCCUGAAUCAGCAUGUGUGUUAGUGGAAGCGUCUGGAAAGGCGCGCGAUACAGGGUGACAGCCCCGUACACAAAAGCGCAUGUGCUGUGAGCUCGAUGAGUAGGGCGGGACACGUGGUAUCCUGUCUGAAUAUGGGGGGACCAUCCUCCAAGGCUAAAUACUCCUGACUGACCGAUAGUGAACCAGUACCGUGAGGGAAAGGCGAAAAGAACCCCGGCGAGGGGAGUGAAAAAGAACCUGAAACCGUGUACGUACAAGCAGUGGGAGCACAGGUUUACCUGUGUGACUGCGUACCUUUUGUAUAAUGGGUCAGCGACUUAUAUUCUGUAGCAAGGUUAACCGUAUAGGGGAGCCGGAGGGAAACCGAGUCUUAAUUGGGCGUUAAGUUGCAGGGUAUAGACCCGAAACCCGGUGAUCUAGCCAUGGGCAGGUUGAAGGUUGGGUAACACUAACUGGAGGACCGAACCGACUAAUGUUGAAAAAUUAGCGGAUGACCUGUGGCUGGGGGUGAAAGGCCAAUCAAACCGGGAGAUAGCUGGUUCUCCCCGAAAGCUAUUUAGGUAGCGCCUCGUGAAUUCAUCUCCGGGGGUAGAGCACUGUUUCGGCUAGGGGGCCAUCCCGGCUUACCAACCCGAUGCAAACUGCGAAUACCGGAGAAUGUUAUCACGGGAGACACACGGCGGGUGCUAACGUCCGUCGUGAAGAGGGAAACAACCCAGACCGCCAGCUAAGGUCCCAAAGUCAUGGUUAAGUGGGAAACGAUGUGGGAAGGCCCAGACAGCCAGGAUGUUGGCUUAGAAGCAGCCAUCAUUUAAAGAAAGCGUAAUAGCUCACUGGUCGAGUCGGCCUGCGCGGAAGAUGUAACGGGGCUAAACCAUGCACCGAAGCUGCGGCAGCGANNUGCUGGAGGUAUCAGAAGUGCGAAUGCUGACAUAAGUAACGAUAAAGCGGGUGAAAAGCCCGCUCGCCGGAAGACCAAGGGUUCCUGUCCAACGUUAAUCGGGGCAGGGUGAGUCGACCCCUAAGGCGAGGCCGAAAGGCGUAGUCGAUGGGAAACGGGUUAAUAUUCCCGUACUUGGUGUUACUGCGAAGGGGGGACGGAGAAGGCUAUGUUGGCCGGGCGACGGUUGUCCCGGUUUAAGCGUGUAGGUGUGUGUUCCAGGUAAAUCCGGUUCACUUUAACACUGAGGCGUGACGACGAGGCACUACGGUGCUGAAGCAACAAAUGCCCUGCUUCCAGGAAAAGCCUCUAAGCAUCAGGUAACAUCAAAUCGUACCCCAAACCGACACAGGUGGUCAGGUAGAGAAUACCAAGGCGCUUGAGAGAACUCGGGUGAAGGAACUAGGCAAAAUGGUGCCGUAACUUCGGGAGAAGGCACGCUGACACGUAGGUGAAGUGAUUUACUCAUGGAGCUGAAGUCAGUCGAAGAUACCAGCUGGCUGCAACUGUUUAUUAAAAACACAGCACUGUGCAAACACGAAAGUGGACGUAUACGGUGUGACGCCUGCCCGGUGCCGGAAGGUUAAUUGAUGGGGUCAGCGUAAGCGAAGCUCCUGAUCGAAGCCCCGGUAAACGGCGGCCGUAACUAUAACGGUCCUAAGGUAGCGAAAUUCCUUGUCGGGUAAGUUCCGACCUGCACGAAUGGCGUAAUGAUGGCCAGGCUGUCUCCACCCGAGACUCAGUGAAAUUGAACUCGCUGUGAAGAUGCAGUGUACCCGCGGCAAGACGGAAAGACCCCGUGAACCUUUACUAUAGCUUGACACUGAACAUUGAGCCUUGAUGUGUAGGAUAGGUGGGAGGCUUUGAAGUGUGGACGCCAGUCUGCAUGGAGCCGACCUUGAAAUACCACCCUUUAAUGUUUGAUGUUCUAACGUGGACCCGUAAUCCGGGUUGCGGACAGUGUCUGGUGGGUAGUUUGACUGGGGCGGUCUCCUCCUAAAGAGUAACGGAGGAGCACGAAGGUUGGCUAAUCCUGGUCGGACAUCAGGAGGUUAGUGCAAUGGCAUAAGCCAGCUUGACUGCGAGCGUGACGGCGCGAGCAGGUGCGAAAGCAGGUCAUAGUGAUCCGGUGGUUCUGAAUGGAAGGGCCAUCGCUCAACGGAUAAAAGGUACUCCGGGGAUAACAGGCUGAUACCGCCCAAGAGUUCAUAUCGACGGCGGUGUUUGGCACCUCGAUGUCGGCUCAUCACAUCCUGGGGCUGAAGUAGGUCCCAAGGGUAUGGCUGUUCGCCAUUUAAAGUGGUACGCGAGCUGGGUUUAGAACGUCGUGAGACAGUUCGGUCCCUAUCUGCCGUGGGCGCUGGAGAACUGAGGGGGGCUGCUCCUAGUACGAGAGGACCGGAGUGGACGCAUCACUGGUGUUCGGGUUGUCAUGCCAAUGGCACUGCCCGGUAGCUAAAUGCGGAAGAGAUAAGUGCUGAAAGCAUCUAAGCACGAAACUUGCCCCGAGAUGAGUUCUCCCUGAGACUU